rnacentral:rRNA from 1 species
UACGUAGGUGGCGAGCGUUGUCCGGAUUUACUGGGCGUAAAGGGAGCGUAGGCGGAUAUUUAAGUGGGAUGUGAAAUACCCGGGCUUAACUUGGGUGCUGCAUUCCAAACUGGAUAUCUAGAGUGCAGGAGAGGAAAGUGGAAUUCCUAGUGUAGCGGUGAAAUGCGUAGAGAUUAGGAAGAACACCAGUGGCGAAGGCGACUUUCUGGACUGUAACUGACGCUGAGGCUAGAAAGCGUGGGGAGCAAACAGG